rnacentral:rRNA from 1 species
AUGAACGCUGGCGGCGUGCCUAAUACAUGCAAGUCGAGCGAACAGACGAGGAGCUUGCUCCUCUGACGUUAGCGGCGGACGGGUGAGUAACACGUGGAUAACCUACCUAUAAGACUGGGAUAACUUCGGGAAACCGGAGCUAAUACCGGAUAAUAUAUUGAACCGCAUGGUUCAAUAGUGAAAGACGGUUUUGCUGUCACUUAUAGAUGGAUCCGCGCCGCAUUAGCUAGUUGGUAAGGUGACGGCUUACCAAGGCGACGAUGCGUAGCCGACCUGAGAGGGUGAUCGGCCACACUGGAACUGAGACACGGUCCAGACUCCUACGGGAGGCAGCAGUAGGGAAUCUUCCGCAAUGGGCGAAAGCCUGACGGAGCAACGCCGCGUGAGUGAUGAAGGUCUUCGGAUCGUAAAACUCUGUUAUUAGGGAAGAACAAAUGUGUAAGUAACUAUGCACGUCUUGACGGUACCUAAUCAGAAAGCCACGGCUAACUACGUG